rnacentral:misc_RNA from 1 species
GAUGAAGAACGUAGCGAAAUGCGAUAAGUAAUGCGAAUUGCAGAAUUUCCGUGAGUCAUCGAAUCUUUGAACGCACAUUGCGCCCGCCAGUAUUCUGGCGGGCAUGCCUGUUCGAGCGUCAUUACAACCCUCAGGCCCCCGGGCCUGGCGUUGGGGAUCGGCGGAGCCCCCCGUGGGCACACGCCGUCCCCCAAAUGCAGUGGCGGUCCCGCCGCAGCUUCCAUCGCGUAGUAGCUAACACCUCGCGACUGGAGAGCGGCGCGGCCACGCCGUAAAACACCCAACUCUUCUGAAGUUGACCUCGAAUCAGGUAGGAAUACCCGCUGAACUUAAGCAUAUCAUAAGCGGAGGA